rnacentral:misc_RNA from 1 species
GAUGAAGAACGUAGCGAAAUGCGAUAAGUAAUGCGAAUUGCAGAAUUCAGUGAGUCAUCGAAUCUUUGAACGCACAUUGCGCCCUGUGGUAUUCCGCAGGGCAUGCCUGUUCGAGCGUCAUUUCAACCCUCAAGCCCCGCUUGGUGUUGGGCCCCGCCCGCUGUGGCCGGCCCUAAAGACAGUGGCGGCGCCGCCUGGCCCUCAGCGUAGUACAUCUCUCGCUCCAGGGUCCGGUGGCCGCCUGCCAGAUCCCCCCAACUCUGUGGUUGACCUCGGAUCAGGUAGGGAUACCCGCUGAACUUAAGCAUAUCAAUAAGCGGAGGA